rnacentral:rRNA from 1 species
AUGAACUCUGGAGGGGUGCCUAAUACCUGCAAGUCGAGCGAACAGACGAGGAGCUUGCUCCUCUGACGUUAGCGGCGGACGGGUGAGUAACACGUGGAUAACCUACCUAUAAGACUGGGAUAACUUCGGGAAACCGGAGCUAAUACCGGAUAAUAUAUUGAACCGCAUGGUUCAAUAGUGAAAGACGGUUUUGCUGUCACUUAUAGAUGGAUCCGCGCCGCAUUAGCUAGUUGGUAAGGUAACGGCUUACCAAGGCAACGAUGCGUAGCCGACCUGAGAGGGUGAUCGGCCACACUGGAACUGAGACACGGUCCAGACUCCUACGGGAGGCAGCAGUAGGGAAUCUUCCGCAAAGGGCGAAAGCCUGACGGAGCAACGCCGCGUGAGUGAUGAAGGUCUUCGGAUCGUAAAACUCUGUUAUUAGGGAAGAACAAAUGUGUAAGUAACUAUGCACGUCUUGACGGUACCUAAUCAGAAAGCCACGGCUAACUACGUG